GGGGUUGUGACUCAGUGGUAGAGAGCUCGCCUAGCAUGUGUGAGGCACUGGGUUGGAUCCUCAGAGCCACA
rnacentral:tRNA from 1 species